rnacentral:rRNA from 1 species
UUGAUCCUGGCUCAGGAUGAACGCUAGCGGCAGGCUUAACACAUGCAAGUCGAGGGGUAUAGUUCUUCGGAAUUAGAGACCGGCGCACGGGUGCGUAACGCGUAUGCAAUCUACCUUUUACAGAGGGAUAGCCCAGAGAAAUUUGGAUUAAUACCUCAUAGUAUAAUGACUUGGCAUCAAGACAUUAUUAAAGUCACAACGGUAAAAGAUGAGCAUGCGUCCCAUUAGCUAGUUGGUAAGGUAACGGCUUACCAAGGCUACGAUGGGUAGGGGUCCUGAGAGGGAGAUCCCCCACACUGGUACUGAGACACGGACCAGACUCCUACGGGAGGCAGCAGUGAGGAAUAUUGGACAAUGGGCGCAAGCCUGAUCCAGCCAUGCCGCGUGCAGGAUGACGGUCCUAUGGAUUGUAAACUGCUUUUAUACGAGAAGAAACACUACUUCGUGAAGUAGCUUGACGGUAUCGUAAGAAU